rnacentral:misc_RNA from 1 species
GCGGGCGCGUGCGAAUUGUAUGACGUAGUCGGAGGGUACACGCUAUAUCCAGUCGCCGGCUGCGGCGGCGGGUAUGCACUAAAUCCAAUCUCCGGUGCCGCCAUUUUCGGAGGAAGGACCGGGUACAAAUUCGAAGGCGGAGGAUAAACUUGCGGCUGAGGAGGAGGCGGCGGCGGAAGAUAAGCCCCGCCGUGAGCGACGGCGG